CUGCUCAAUGAAUAAUUUUAAAUAGCUGCAGUAUAAAUAACUGUACAAAGGUAGCAUAAUAAUUUGAUUUUUAAUUGAAAACUAGAAUGAAUGAUUAAAUGAAAUAUAAACUAUAUCAAAUUUAAAAAAUAAAUUUAUUAUUUAAAUAAAAAAAUUUAAAUAAUUUUUAAAGACGAGAAGACCCUAAAGAAUUUUAAUAAUAAAUUAUAAUAUAAAUUUAAAAUUUAUUAUAUUAAUUGGGGAAAUUUUAAAAUUUAAAAAAUUUUUAAUUAAAUAAACAUAAAUUUUUGAAUAUUUAAAAUUUUUUUAAAAAAUGAAAUUAAAUUACCUUAGGGAUAACAGCAUAAUUUUUUUAAAAAG
rnacentral:rRNA from 1 species